AACGAACGCUGGCGGCAUGCCUAACACAUGCAAGUCGAACGAGACCUUCGGGUCUAGUGGCGCACGGGUGCGUAACACGUGGGAAUUUGCCUCGGGGUAUGGAAUAACUCAGGGAAACUUGAGCUAAUACCAUAUAAUGUCUUCGGACCAAAGAUUUAUCGCCCUGAGAUAAGCCCGCGUAGGAUUAGCUAGUUGGUGGGGUAAAGGCCUACCAAGGCGACGAUCCAUAGCUGGUCUGAGAGGAUGAUCAGCCACACUGGGACUGAGACACGGCCCAGACUCCUACGGGAGGCAGCAGUGGGGAAUAAUUGGACAAAUGGGCGAAAGUUUGAUCCAGCAAUGCCGCGUGAGUGAUGAAGGCCUUAGGGUUGUAAAGCUCUUUUACCCGAGAUGAUAAUGACAGUAUCGGGAGAAUAAGCU
rnacentral:rRNA from 1 species